ensembl:processed_transcript
AUUGUUGUUGUGUCGAUGUAAAAGCAUAACAGUCAAAUCAUUAUAAGUAAAUAUCCUGUGUCUGUACUUCCAGUGUGUGGAUGGGGUCCUGGGACCGGACGGCUCCUCUCUGAAAAGGGUGGCAGUGGUGGAGGACUUCUAUGACAUCAUCUAUGCCAUGCAUGUGGAGAUCAGCAGUGACCCGGCCAAAGCCCCCAAACACGCCGGACAGAAGAAAACCUACAAAGCGAUAGCGGAGACAUAUGCGUUUCUGCCCAGAGAAGCGGUGACCCGUUUCCUGAUGAGCUGUGGUGAAUGUCAGAAGAGGAUGCACAUCAGCCCCAGCGGAGCAGAGUUCAAAGAGAAUAACCAGCCGAGUUCUUUGGCAGCUGAUCUUAUAGACUACAACAUGCCUCUUACCACAACAUACCUGAAGCAGAAGAAACUGCAGUGCAUGAACAACAACGAGCAGGUAAAAACACACUUCUCUAACCUGUGGGUGCACUGGCUGACAUAUACAAGUCAGUGUGCUGGCAUGAGCGUCCUUUUCAGUCCAUCCAGAUGGUGCAGAAAUCACUGUGGGCGUUGUGCUUUACUGACAGCAGGCCUUUUUUUUGCUUGAGUUUGUGUUUAUUUAUUUUUAUUGGACAGCACUGUGUAGUCACCAUUUUGUUCUUGUUGCCCUGUGCAUUUCAGGGACUGCCUCCAAUGUGCUGAAAUUCACAGUUUAUAUACUUUCGACAUUUUUUUAGUUGGACAUUUUUAUUACUUGCAUUAUUAAAGAACAUUAUACAUUAUUGUUCCCAGUGAUGGGAAAGGCUGAAAGGGCAUCCGCUGCAUAAAACAUAUCCUGGAUAAGUUGGCGGUUCAUUCCGCUGUGGCGACCCCAGUUUAAAAAAGAGACUAAGCCGAAAAGAAUUAUUUCUUCAUUUGAAUAAUUGCUGCUAAAAUCAUUGCAUUUAAUUUUUUAUUGAUUUUUAAAUUAUGCUUUUAUAACUAAAAAUAAACAUUUUGCUUCAUUGUGC